rnacentral:sRNA from 1 species
AGUAACCAGAGCAACAGUUGUUCUCCCUCGCUGGAGUGGUGAAUAGGAGCCAGGAGGAGGGGACUGUUAGGGUCGGGCUGCCUCAGUCUCCACAGUAAUUAAGAGGAAAUUGAGUUGGAUACAGUGGACAUGAGGCCUGGAAUGGGUACCCCAAACCCAUGCAUCUUAGAGUGUCUGAGUCCCCACGCCCCCUUCUGCAUGCCAGGAAUACUCUGUGCAGCCAUCUUGUGACUGCUUCAGUCCAGAGAAGGAUAGCAUCCAUCCCUCCUUCCAGCUCGCCUCUCUGCUGAGGCUUUCUCCUCUCCACUCAGCUAGCUAUUUGCAACAGCUUCUCUCCUGGCACUUGUCUGGGAAUACCAAGUUAAAAAUUAUAACACCCAAUUUUGGUAACUUUAGUUGAGAGAAACCUCUAGUGAAGACUGAUAAGUAACUUAUUGCCCAUUCCCAUGUUCCUUUGUCUCCACCAAGAGGAAUUACCAGCCCAGCAGUUCUGCCCUCACUAGAGUCCCGUCUAGGAGCUUGAGAGGAGAGGAUUUUUAGGGCUGGACUGCCUCAGUCUGCACAGUAAUAAGUUGAGCUGGACACAGUGGACAUGAGGACCUGGACUCAGAUAUCUGAAGAAUCCUUAUUUUUUGUUUGUUUGUUUGUUUUGAGACGGAGUCACCCUAUUGCCCAGGCUGGAGUGCAUUGAUGCAAUCUUGGCUCACUGCAACCUCUGCCUCCCAGGUUCAAGUGAUUCUUCUGCCUCAGCCUCCCAGGUAGCUGGGAUUACAGGCAUGCGCCACCACGCUCAGCUAUUUUUCGUAUUUUUAGUAGAGACGGGGUUUCACCAUGUUGGUCAGGCUGGUCUUGAACACCAGCCUCAGCCUCCCAAAGUGCUGGGAUUACAGGCGUGAGCCACCGUGCCCGGCCAAAAUCCUUAAUGUUUUUGUUUUUUGGUUUUUUUUUUGAGACAGUCUUGCUCUGUCACCCAGGCUGGAGUGCAGUGGCACAAUCUCGGCUCACUGCAAGCUCUGCCUCCGGGGUUCACGCCAUUCUCCUGCCUCAGCCUCCCGAGUAGCUGGGACUACAGGCACCUGCCACCACGCCCGGCUGAUUUUUUAUAUUUUUUAGUAGAGGCGGGGUUUCACCGUGUUAGGACGGUCUUGAUCUCCUGACCUCGUGAUCCGCCCGCCUCGGCCUCCUAAAGUGCUGGUAUUACAGGCGUGAGCCACCGUGCCUGGACUAUCGUUAAUGUUGAUAUUAGUGGUUAGCACAUGUUUUGGAGGAGGACUUCACACUUUUUUAACUAUGCUCCCUCGUAUUUUCUGUAAGCAAUCUUAAAUUCUUUCUGGAAUAAAGCAAGGUUGAUCAGUAUUUCUCAAGGAGGAUUAUUUGGCAGGGAGUAGCUACUGCUCAGAGAACUUGGUAUUGUUGUUACAUGCAUCCUGGAAGCAUCUGUGCCUAUUUCUGGACAGCCUCAGACCACUUUCUUCUGAGUCCUGGACCCUUGAAUCUGCAGCCAAGCAAACUCUUGGGUCCCUCCCAAGUCUCAUGUUUAGUAAAGCCCUGUGAGAAUAAUUUUAUUGGGGGAGGAGUCGAGAUGAUACUUCCCUCACCUGCGUCAGAGGAAACCACAUCAGAAACAAUCCACCUAGAAAAACACUGCAUACAGGAAAACUGACAACUUGCCCUGAGAAAUCACAGCCUUGGUGCAAGAGGUGAAGCCGAACUGGUAAAAGAUCAAAGUGAAUUCAGAGAUCAGACUGUACUAGGGAAAGGAGCAGAGGCUGAGAUCCUGCUGCCAGUGUGACCUCUCACAGAGUAGCCCAGCGGAGGCUGUGCAGAGAUGGCCAGAGCCAGGACCCAGCCCUGCGGAGCCCCUGAGCACAUGUGGUCCCGAGUGAAGCCGUGCCUGUUGCUCUGAACAGGUGGGAUCGAUCUGUAGGUUUUUCCUCUUUUCACAGAGCGUGGCUCUCCUUAGGUCUGCACUCCCUCUCUGCGCAGGGCGGACCUCCCUGGGCUCUGCAGCAUGACCUCCUGUCCCAAGACAGUCGUGCUCUUGGACAGUUAGCUUCUAUCAUUAGGAAGUGCCCACAUGAGCUCUUGUUUAUUGGAAACCGUGUUCUAUGCCUCCUUUGGGGUUUCUGCAACUCAAUUUGGCAGGUCGCUUAGUGUUCCACCUGGUCUCAAACUCCAGCUCCACCAUGUGCAGUUGUGUGUUCUUCGGCAAGUUCCUCCCUUCCUCCAAAUCUGUCAGUGGGGGAAGAGUGCUUGUUUCACAGAGUUGAGGUGAGAAAUAAGUUAAUGAAUAUGAAAUUCUUUGCCCAGCCCCUGGCACAUGGAAGAGCUCAGCAAUGCUGUAUCCGUUGUAGUGGUCAUCACUCUGUGGCUCUUCACUGCUCUUGUUUUGUUUUGGGAGGGGGUGGAGAACAAUUUGUUCUGUGUUUGUGUGGGGCAAGGCCUGUCUUCAGGGCUCUCGAACCACGUGCGCUCUCGCUGGAGCUUCUGAAAGGACACAGUUCUUGCAUACAAGUUGCUUUCUCCAGCUUGCCCACCAGGCAGUCUGGCUUCAGACAUCUGUGUUGCCCUUUUAAGUCAAUUUGGCUGUUUAAGUGGAAUGUUUGUGUCAGUCUGAUAAUUGUUAAUUCAUUUGAUCCUCAUACCAACCCUUACUUGCCUCCUUUUACAGAUGGAAAAAUCAAACUUGGAAAGUAAUUUCCACAAGGAAAAGCCCCACGGCUGGAAAGCGGUGGGAGCAGGAGGCCACACUGGGUGCAGGAGUACCCACCUUCCCACAGGAGCCCCACACCAUCUCACCCUUAGAAAACCCAAAUGCUCACUCCUUGUCUUUCUAAUGCAUUCUUUCUGAUGUACAGGAAGAGGGGAAAGAAGGAAGAGCUUUUCCGUUUGGUGCUCCAACGUCUCCUGCUGGACCCAUCUUCUGCCUAGUGGAAGGCAGCAAAAUUUCAACAAACAGGUGAGGUUGAGCAGCUUGGUGCAACCCCAUGGGGCCUGGAGUUGGAGCUGAACAGUAAUGGAUUUCAGAGACCACCCUGAAACGCCCAGUAAAAAAGACUUCAGAGACAUGUUAAUAAACUCAAGCAUUUGAUCGACCCAC